ensembl:lncRNA
CACAAAUCUUUCAGUGACUAUUAUUGCUAUUAAAUACCAAACUCCUUCAAGGUAAUAAGUGUUUGGGUAAUACAGUCAGGAAUCAGACUCAGGAUUGUCAACAAACAUGGUUGUCAUGAAAGAGAUGGUUGUCAUCGGAAAUCAAGAUAUCUUCUCCACUGGAAAGUUACCAAAACAAUAACAAGAAAAUGCCAAGUCAAAAUAAAACUGGAUACGUGAGAUGGAAUAUUGUACAACGACCAGCAGAUGUCGCCACACUACACUGUUUGGAAAGAACCUGCCUCAGAUUCACACGAAUAAAUGGUGAAUAGCAGCGACAGGGCACAAAAUAUUCACUGGGAGGACUGAUGCUGAAGCUGCAGCUCCAAUACUUUCACCACCUGAUACGAAGAGCCGACUUAUUGGAAAAGACCCCUGAUGCUGGGAAAGAUUGAGGGCAGGAGGAGAAGGGGACGACAGAAGGUAAGAUGGUUGGAUGGCAUCACCGACUCGAUGGACAUGAGUUUGACUAAACUCUGGGAAUUGGUGAUGGAUAGGGAGCCCUGGCGUGCUGCGGUCCAUGGGGUCGCAAAGAGUUGGACACAACUGAGCGACUGAACAACAAAAAUAAGAGCAAAAAAAUUAUUUUUCAGAAAAGCAAUUUAAGAAAAUUGAUAAUAGGAAAGAAAUCACGUGGACUCUGUUUUCUCCCAAGAAACAUAUCUGUGAUGGGAAGCAUCUAAGGCCACGGUCCCCGUGAAUACUGUC